ensembl:lncRNA
CUCUCUUCACUGUCGCCUGGAAAUAAAGGAACCGCAAGCAGCCAUCCUUGCUGGGGCGUCUCCGUCCCUCGCCCCGAGGCCUGCACCGCCCUCCUAGGUAUCGUGGAUUUAUGUUCGUUUGUCCGGGUCAUUCUGCCUUUUCGUGUUAAUUACGCGCUGCCUGCUUCGUGCUUAUCUCCUGCGCAAAGCGAUUAUUUUCAACGCCCGCCCUUCUGAGCCUCCCGAGUCUGCUGGGAGAGCGAGGACCCAUCUCCUGCCGCCACUCGCGAUUUAUUUACACCUCGCAGGUGAGAGGAUUGAUUUGCUCAGAGCCAGAGGGGCCGGGCUGGGCCGGGGCACCCAACCUUUUAGUCGCUGCUCCUCGGGGCCAGGCCUCAAAUGUCAGUGCGGCCAGGCCGGCUGGGGGCACCGCCGCCGCCUCUAACAUUGAGCAACAGCGCCACCUCGCGUCCACUUGCUCCAAUGCAGUUCGGCCGAGAAAAAGCCAGCAGCUAAGAGCAAGCAGGUCCCCAGGCUUGACCCAAAGGUCGGGGAUGGGAGGAAGGAGUUUCCAAAUGAAUGAGCAAGAGAGGGGUCCCCGGAAGGGACUCCCCCCUUCCCAGGAGCGCUGUUCUUUUGUUUUCUAAAUCGUCGAACUAAACCUUGCCCAAGGUUUUGUACUAUUUUCUCUUUUUGUCACCCUCCCUUCCCGCAUUGAGACACUGUGCAAAAGGAACUGCCGCGAUUAUCCCCACAACCAGGCGCAUUUCUGGCCUCGGAACACCGCGCACGCAGACACACGCACCGAAGCUCCCGCGACCGCCUGCCCGUGGCGCGCACCCUAAACUCCUCGCUCCUCUUACCCUGCCUCCUGCUCCGUACCGCCUAUUCCGCCGCCGCCUGCAGGACUUUGGGGUGGGACUCUGACUUCUCCCGGCUCUUUGCCCCCUGGUUUGUGGCCCAGCCCUCUCUCACGCGCGCUCUCUCUCCACUUCUCCCUCCCAUCCAGUGAGGUCCUGUUCUCCGUGGGCCAUAGACAAAACAUUCCUAUAAUCCGAUUUCAAAGGAAAGAGUGUCCACCUUAUUUAAACCAUAAAACAAUUAAGCCCAGACGUCUAGCCAGCUCCGCGCUGCUGUUUUGUUCGGCCCCAUUCAGAAUCCAGCGCAGGGAGACAAACAGCGCCAUAAAAGUGGCAUUUCGGGGCCUCGGAAAUGUACCUACCCUCUGCCUUCCCAAGUGGAACAACCUUUAGGGUUUUGUGAUUCUGACAAAGGAGCAGAGGAGAGGUGGGAGGGGAGGAUUAGGGCAGGGGGGCGUUUGCAAGCCCCUCUUUCGUCCCUAGCUUUCGUUUCUUUCCCUAGAUGUGUGUCAUGUUGUUGUGGUUUGAGUUCACAAAUGAC